AUGGAGCAUAGUGACGGCGAGACCGCCGCCAAGCGAGCCAAGCUCUCCGCCAGCGGCAGCGAGGACCUCCUCAGCGCGCUAUCCGACGACGUUCUCAUUCACAUCCUUCUCAAGCUCCGCAACACCGCCGUCGCCGCUCGGACCAGCGUCCUCUCCAGCCGCUGGCGCCGCCUCUGGGCCCUCCUCCCGGGCCUGGACUUUCUCCCCGACAUCAACCCAUACAGCGUACCCGCCGUCCUCGCCGCCCAUCAAGCGCCGGCCCUCCGCUCUCUCCGCAUCCUCGCCACGGACGCCUCUGCCGACUUCAUGGCCGCGUGGCUCCCCAUCGCCGCCCGCCGCCUCUCCGGCGAUCUAUUCUUCAUCAACACCGUGUCGCCGGACGACGAGGCCGGGGACAGAGGCGCCUUUGAACUGCCAUGCUUCGAGAACGCCACCUCGAUCACGCUCCACUUAGGGUUUCUUGGCAUUGCAGUGCCAGCCUCCGCCAUAUCCUCUCGGCUCACCGAUCUUCGCCUGAAUAGCUUCCAGGUACAGGGUCCGUGCUUGCUCGGUGACGUUGUAUCCUCGGCGUGGUCCCCAUGCUUGCAAAGGCUCACCAUCAACGAUGCCCGAGGCAUCGACAAAUUCACCAUCCGCUCAGAGUCUCUCCUGCAAUUGAAGCUCAAGGAUCUAGAUGGCCUGCAGCAGCUCACUGUCGUGGCGCCGAAGCUCAAAGAGCUAAGUGUGAUCCUUUUGCUUUGCUCCGAAUCAACCUAUUGCUAG
rnacentral:rRNA from 1 species